rnacentral:rRNA from 1 species
CUGGAGGUAUCAGAAGUGCGAAUGCUGACAUAAGUAACGAUAAAGCGGGUGAAAAGCCCGCUCGCCGGAAGACCAAGGGUUCCUGUCCAACGUUAAUCGGGGCAGGGUGAGUCGACCCCUAAGGCGAGGCCGAAAGGCGUAGUCGAUGGGAAACGGGUUAAUAUUCCCGUACUUGGUGUUACUGCGAAGGGGGGACGGAGAAGGCUAUGUUGGCCGGGCGACGGUUGUCCCGGUUUAAGCGUGUAGGCUGACUUUCCAGGCAAAUCCGGAGAGUCAAGGCUGAGG